GGACACCCCUCACAUUCAAGGGUGCCUGGACAGUGGAGAGGAAUACCUGGAAGAUUUGAAACAAACAUGGAGGACCAAGGGAUAUGGAGUUUAGCCUGGAUCCUAGGAAUAAGGGUCUCAGAUCCAAGGGGCUGAGGAAGGUUGGCAGUGGGCCAAGGGAAGUAUUUCCCUGGGCAGCAAAGAAAAGAGCACAGUGAUGCACUUGAACACCAGUUCAAGCAAACAGUCAGCAGCUGCCCUGGGGGAGGAGGAGUGCUCCUUUUCCGCCUGGGCGAUGUUUUUCUUUCCUCGUGGUAGUGCUUCCCUUUGGGGUGGUGACGUGACGCUGACAUCAAACAAGGAUCAUUCAAUGAUUCAAUGUGGCUGUGCGGUUCGUGCCAUCUCUGCUUUGGAGGGAGAGUGGAAGUCCACUCUUACAGGUGAAUCCCUUGGACCCCUCCCACCCCCAGCCUAUUUUGUCUGAAAUACAAGGCAGCAACCAACCUCCUUCCGGAACGGGCCUCGGAGCUGAGAGCAUUCGGAGAGGCUCAGGUCGGAGGAUCCCAGGACCAGGGAUGGCUUCCUGCAGCUCUCCACGAAGAGACCCAGGAAGGUCGCUCUACCGACAACAAGCUACUUCCAGACAAUCGACUGGACUCGCCAUCUUGGUUCGUUCAUGCAUAUUCAGCGAGUGGCUGAAUAUUCAUGAUUAAGGACGGCCUCCAGUACUCCCUGCCGCCGCCUCCGCUGCGGCCCGGAACCCGCUCAGGAGUACCUGACUUAACCCCGCCUUCAUUACCGAUUCGGGGAACGGACCAUUUUCCAGCUGGGGAGGGGGGGGUUGGAUUUUCAUGAGACACCAACUGAGAAAUGAACCUGUACUCCGAAGUAGAAUAAAGAUGGCCUAACUUGA